UUCUCCCCAGUCCCUAGCUCCACCUUUUCUGCAACAAAUGUCAGCAUGGUGGUAUCUGCUGGCCUUUGGUCCAGUGAGAAGGCAGAGAUGAACAUUCUAGAAAUCAGAGAGAAUUUGUAUCCCCAGAUGGCAGAGAACAAACAGCAGUUCAGAAAUAUCAAAGAGAAAUUUCUUAUAACUCAAGUGGCCUACUUCCUGGCCAACCAGCAGAACACAUACCAGUAUGAAGAGUGCAAAGACCUCAUAAAAUCUAUGCUGAGGGGUGAGCUUCAGUUCAAGGAGGAGAAGGUUGCAGAGCAGCUCAGGCAGGCUAAGGAGCUCAGGCAAUAUAAAGUCCUGGUUCACUCUCAGGAAUGAGAGCUGACCCAGUUAAGGGAGAAGUUAUGGGAAGGGAGAGAUGCCUCCUGCUCAUCGAAUCGGCAUCUCCAGGCCCUCCUCGCUCCGGAUGAGCCAGACAAGUCCCAGGGCAGGACCUCCAAGAAUAGCUGGCUGAGGGGUGUAGGCUGGCACAGCACCUUGUCCAAAAGCUCAGCCCAGAAAAUGAUGAAGAUGAGGAUGAAGAUGUUAAAGUUGAGGAGGCUGAGAAAGUACAGGAAUCAUGUGCCCCUGGGGAGGUGCAGAAGGCUGAAGAAAGGGAAAUCCCUGAGGACUCACUGGAGGCAUGUGCCGUCCCUUGUUCAAAUAGCCACAGCCCUUGUGACUCCAACAAGCCACACAGAAACACCAAAAUCACAUUUGAGGAAGACAAAGUCGACUCAACUGUCGUUGACUCAUCCUCUCGUGAUGAAUGGGAGGAUGCUAAAAUGAAAGUGAUUAUGAGGAAGAGGAAGAAAAAGGCCCAGUGUCUCCCAGCAGAAGCAACAGGUCCUAGGCUCAGCAGGGAGCUGCUGGAUGAGAAAGAGCUGAAGUCUUACAGGACUUACUGGAUAGAUGUUAUUCGACUCCUCCUGGUUAUCUUGAACUGCCUGACUUAUGCCAGCCCUACAGAAGUGCCUUUUACUCAUUGGAGGAAGAGCACCUUGGCUUGGCUCUUGACGUGGACAGAAUUAAAAAGGACCAAGAAGAGGGAGAAGACCAAGGCCCACCAUGCCCCAGGCUCAGCAGGGAACUGCUGGAGGUAGUAGAGCCUGAAGUCUUGCAGGACUCACUGAAUAGUUAUUAUUUGACUCCUUCCAGUUAUCUUGAACUGCCAGAUUCAUGCCAGUCCUACAGAAAUUCCUUUUACUCAUUGGAGGAAUAACACAUUGGCUUUUCUCUUGAUGUGGACGGUGAAUACCUUUCUAUGAAGGUGAUAAGGAUCCACUGAGUCUUCCUUAUAGAGCCCAUAUUCCUGCUCCAAGUGGCCAUUACUGAGCUGAGAGAUGUCAUUGCUACGGUGAGGACCUAUAGGUACAUGUAGGUUCAAUGAAACUCUAGUUCUACUUGGAAGCCCAGACAUGGGAGGGGUCAGUGAGCAUGGCUAUCUUCCUAGUCUCAGGCCAUGCCCAUGGCACUCUGAUUCUACUCUCAAGACAUUGGACUUGGGCAGAUGCACAAAUUCAGAGAACUAUGAUUUUGACUCAAGGGUUUGUAGAUUUCCUUUUUCACUCUAAUUUCAGUGUCAAAAAUCCUCACAACCAUGAACAAUCUGAGUAUUUGAUGAGAAAGGGCUGAAGAUUGCAAUUUUUCUCCUAGAAACCAUUGAGGGCAUUUGCUUUAAAUUGAUUGGAAAAAUAUGGCAUAACCGUUUGCACAAACUUGGAACAAAUGAUAUUGGGAUAACGAUCUACCAGAAUAGGGACAUUUUACCUUAGUUUCUGGAACAAAAACCAAGGAAUCUCUAUCAUGACCAGCCUUCAGGCCUCCUGAAAUAUAUCUCUCACAGUGUCCUAUUCUUAUGCUGAGGAGCCUGAGGUCCCUGUGUGAGGAUUAGACAGUGGAUUGUUAUGUGUGUAGGGGAAUCAGCUGAAUGCAUCUGUCCAUGUCUGAAUUUAUUGCAGAAAUUGACAAGUACCAAGAAGGGGAAGAAGAUCGAAACACACCAAAUUCAAAACCCAUCAAAUUCACACAUAACAAUAUUAGCCUUAAAUGUAAAUGGGUAAAUGCCCCGAUUAAAAGACACAGACUGGCAGAUU